AAAGUCGUAACAAGGUAACCGUAGGUGAACCUGCGGUUGGAUCAUUAACAAAUUUCACUAGGAGCCAUCUUCUGAUGGCACCUAUGAAUGAACAACAACCCACCUUUUGUGCACUGUCUGUCUCUGGCGGUGGGAGCAAAGCAAUUGAAAUGUUUGUUACAUUUUAGUGUUUUGCUCUGUCAGCUUGGUUCACACAUUGGCGUGAAUCAAGCCGUGGACAAACCGCCAAACACUUUUGUCCAACUCAUUGCUUUAUGCUUUCGAUUUCCUAACAUAUAUCUUGUAUUAAAUAUACAAAAAAACUUUUGGCAACGGAUCUCUUGGCUCUC
rnacentral:misc_RNA from 1 species